rnacentral:rRNA from 1 species
UGCCCCUACGGGAGGCAGCAGUGAGGAAUAUUGGUCAAUGGGCUUACGCCUGAACCAGCCAAGCCGCGUGAGGGAAGACGGCCCUAUGGGUUGUAAACCUCUUUUGUCGGAGAACAAAACCCGGGACGUGUCCCGGACUGCGUGUAUCCGAAGAAAAAGCAUCGGCUAACUCCGUGCCAGCAGCCGCGGUAAUACGGAGGAUGCGAGCGUUAUCCGGAUUUAUUGGGUUUAAAGGGUGCGUAGGCGGUCUGUUAAGUCAGCGGUAAAAUUGCGGGGCUCAACCCCGUCGAGCCGUUGAAAC